rnacentral:rRNA from 1 species
UACGAAGGGUGCAAGCGUUACUCGGAAUUACUGGGCGUAAAGCGUGCGUAGGUGGUGAGUUAAGUCUGUCGUGAAAGCCCCGGGCUCAACCUGGGAAUGGCGAUGGAUACUGGCUCGCUAGAGUGCGGUAGAGGAGAGUGGAAUUCCCGGUGUAGCAGUGAAAUGCGCAGAUAUCAGGAGGAACACCGGUGGCGAAGGCGGGUCUCUGGGCCGAUACUGACGCUGAGGAGCGAAAGCGUGGGGAGCGAACAGG